rnacentral:rRNA from 1 species
UACGUAGGGGGCGAGCGUUGUCCGGAUUUAUUGGGCGUAAAGAGCGUGUAGGCUGUUCGGUAAGUCUGCCGUGAAAACCUGAGGCUCAACCUCGGGCGUGCGGUGGAUACUGCCGGGCUAGAGGACGGUAGAGGCGAGUGGAAUUCCCGGUGUAGCGGUGAAAUGCGUAGAUAUCUGGAGGAACACCGGUGGCGAAGGCGGCAUCCUGGGCCAAUACUGACGCUGAGGAGCGAAAGCCAGGGGAGCAAACGGG